rnacentral:tRNA from 1 species
GGGAUAAAGUAAGUUCCAGCUUCUAACUGGAAAAGGAUUUUUUUAAAAAAUCUUAUCUCU